rnacentral:rRNA from 1 species
AUUGAACGCUGGCGGCAUGCCUAACACAUGCAAGUCGAACGGUAACAGGGAGUCUGCUGCUGGAGUGUGGCGCGCGGGGGAGUAAUAUGCCUGGAAGUCCGCCAUCGUGGGGGGGAAAGGGUCCAAAAACGUGCUCAAAUCCCACACACGUCACGGGGGAGAGCAGGGGGGAGCAACGGAUUGCACGGUAGGAGCUGCGGAUGGCAGAUUAGGUAGUUGGUGGGGUAAAAGCUUACCAAGACGACGAUCUGUAGCUGGUCUGAGAGGAUGAGCAGCCACACUGGGACUGAGACACGGCCCAGACUCCUACGGGAGGCAGCAGUGGGGAAUAUUGGACAAUGGGCGAAAGCCUGAUCCAGCCAUGCCGCGUGUAGGAUGAAGGCCUUCGGGUUGUAAAGUGCUUUAGGUUGGAAGGAAGAGAAGCUAGUUAAUACCGUGCGGUUAUGACGGUACCGUCAGAAUAAGCACCGGCUAACUACGUG